AGUGAACGCUGGCGGUAGGCCUAACACAUGCAAGUCGAACGGCAGCACAGUAAGAGCUUGCUCUUACGGGUGGCGAGUGGCGGACGGGUGAGGAAUACAUCGGAAUCUACUUUUUCGUGGGGGAUAACGUAGGGAAACUUACGCUAAUACCGCAUACGACCUACGGGUGAAAGCAGGGGAUCUUCGGACCUUGCGCGAUUGAAUGAGCCGAUGUCGGAUUAGCUAGUUGGCGGGGUAAAGGCCCACCAAGGCGACGAUCCGUAGCUGGUCUGAGAGGAUGAUCAGGCAAACUUGAACCUGAGAACGGGCCAAACCCCUACGGGAGGGAACCAUGGGGAAUAAUGGAACAAGGGGCGCAGCCUGAUCCAGCCAUACCGCGUGGGUGAAGAAGGCCUUCGGGUUGUAAAGCCCUUUUGUUGGGAAAGAAAAGCAGCAGGUUAAUACCCCGCUGUUCUGACGGUACCCAAAGAAUAAGCACCGGCUAACUUCGUG
rnacentral:rRNA from 1 species